UCCCCAACUUGGGUAAAGGAGGGAGGUUGAUGUUAAACAGGCAGCUUAUUUUUGGACUUGUGCCAAGUAAUCAUGAGAAUUCCCAUUUUGAAUCUCGAUUGGUGAAGCAAGAUUCGUAAAGCCAAAGUCCAAAUAGCAAGGCAAGAUUGAUGAUGAUGAUGAAAUGGUUUUAUUAAAAUGGUUUUGUAACGUUUCAUCAUUACUGCCAAAUCUCAAUUAGGGAAAUGGUACAAGGGAUGUACGGGAGCUCUUCAAGUUGGAAAAAGAGUAGAGAUUAUCUUAGUUGCAGGUUCCUUCUACUAUGUGCUGCUCAUGCUUUGAACUUGAGCAAUGGACUUGUUUUCUGGCUCCUGCUUCUUCGCCAUUUAUACUUGCUAAUAUUUGAGAUAGAUGCUGCUUCACUUCUGCACGUGAAUCUGUUAGCACUUCCUUUCUUUCUUCAUGCAACUAUAGGCCAUGUCUAACUUUGUUUUUUGGAGUUCUAAGUGUAUAUUUCUCCUCAAAAUUGCAGGGCUAAGGAUUAUACUGCAGUAGAACAACCUGUGGAAGCAUUUAUGAAUAUCCUUUUCUCAUCUGGAACUACAGAACGAAUGCACUACUCCACCAGGAUACAAGAGCAUGGAAAACAGUGACAAGCCUCUCUUUUUUAAGGAGUUGAAGAAGUUAUGGGACAACGAGAGUGGUAGUCUUCUAUGGGGAAAAGGGACAGUUCUCUUUAUCCAAUACCUUAAUGAUCGAUGAUCCUCUUUACAAGGCCCUUAAAAAUCUGGUAAUUUUAUUAUGAGAAGUAUCACAUACAACCAACUGUAGGAAUUGAGAUUUGCUAGCUCCGAACACUUGUGGGAGCCCUUCACAUCCAUGUGCAGGCAUGUGUCAUAAUUUGAAGAUGCAUUUGAUAUUAUCUUUCCAUCUAGUUAGCUACAACAAUUAGAUCUUCUGCCAUGAAAUGAUGAUUCAGCUAAUUCACAACUUAGAUUACCCAAGCACGAUAUGUCAGGCAUAGAGAUAGAUGAUCCCAAAGAGCAAGAACAUGCAGAGAAUGCUCAUGUAAAACAACUUUAUGGAG